UUAACUAUUAUAUAGUACUCAGACGACAUAGAUAAUAAGAGUUUUGGGUCCUCUGGCAGGCACGGACUAGCCGAAGCCAGCGGUCCGAAGACGGGCCUGCCAAAGCAACAAAGGUAAUGUAAACAAAGGGUGGGAGAUUAGCCCGAAGGCAGUUCUCUUUAGUGAUCCUUCCGCAGGUUCACCUACGGAAA
rnacentral:misc_RNA from 1 species